AGGGUUUGAUUAUGGCUCAGGACGAACGCUGGCGGCGUGCCUAAUACAUGCAAGUAGAACGCUGACUACUUUAGCUUGCUAGAGUAGAAGGAGUUGCGAACGGGUGAGUAACGCGUAGGUAACCUGCCUACUAGCGGGGGAUAACUAUUGGAAACGAUAGCUAAUACCGCAUAACAGUGUUUAACACAUGUUAGAUGCUUGAAAGAUGCAAUUGCAUCACUAGUAGAUGGACCUGCGUUGUAUUAGCUAGUUGGUGGGGUAACGGCCCACCAAGGCGACGAUACAUAGCCGACCUGAGAGGGUGAUCGGCCACACUGGGACUGAGACACGGCCCAG
rnacentral:rRNA from 1 species